rnacentral:rRNA from 1 species
GACGAACGCUGGCGGCGUGCUUAACACAUGCAAGUCGAACGAAGUGGCGGACGGGUGAGUAACGCGUAAUCAACCUGCACUUCAGAGGGGGACAACAGUUGGAAACGACUGCUAAUCCCGCAUACUGAAGGAGGGGAUUGCGUCUGAUUAGGUAGUUGGAGGGGUAACGGCCCACCAAGGCGAGGAUCAGUAGCCGGUCUGAGAGGAUGAACGGCCACAUUUGGACUGAGAUACUGCCCAGACUCCUACGUGAGGCAGCAGUGGGGAAUCUUCCGCAAUGGACGAAAGUCUGACGGAGCAACGCCGCGGGAGUGAUUACGGCCUUCGGGUUGUAAAGCUCUGUUAAUCGGGACGCGGUACCGGAAUAGAAAGCCACGGCUAACUACGUGCCAGCAGCCGCGGUAAUAC